rnacentral:rRNA from 1 species
GACGAACGCUGGCGGCGUGCUUAACACAUGCAAGUCGAACGGAAAGGCCCUGCUUGCAGGGUACUCGAGUGGCGAACGGGUGAGUAACACGUGGGUGAUCUGCCCUGCACUUCGGGAUAAGCCUGGGAAACUGGGUCUAAUACCGGAUAGGAGCCAUUUUUAGUGUGAUGGUUGGAAAGUUUUUUCGGUGUAGGAUGAGCUCGCGGCCUAUCAGCUUGUUGGUGGGGUAAUGGCCUACCAAGGCGGCGACGGGUAGCCGGCCUGAGAGGGUGGACGGCCACAUUGGGACUGAGAUACGGCCCAGACUCCUACGGGAGGCAGCAGUGGGGAAUAUUGCACAAUGGGCGCAAGCCUGAUGCAGCGACGCCGCGUGGGGGAGGACGGCCUUCGGGUUGUAAACUCCUUUCACUAGGGACGAAGCUUUUUGUGACGGUACCUAGAGAAGAAGCACCGGCUAACUACGUG